rnacentral:misc_RNA from 1 species
AAAGAGGGACACUUUCAAAAUUUUGUUGGCAAGGUGCUGACAAGGCAAUGAUUGCUAACAUGGUUGGUAAUGUGGCAGGGUUUGCAUGGCAUUGAUGUUGAUGACAUAGCAGAUAAUGUGGACUGAAAGAUGACAUGGCAUUGAUGAUUUGGAACCUGAUAAGGUGCAUGGAUUGAGCUAGUAGAUGACGUCAGCAAGGAGACAUCUUAUGUGUUGCAGCUCACAAUGGCUGUGUGAU